AUGAGCAGGGGAGGCGCAGAGAGAGACGGAGAGAAUCCCAAGCAGGCUCCACGCUCAGCAGAGAGCCUGAUGCAGGGCUCAAUCUCACGACCAUGAGAUCGUGACCUGAGCUGAAAUCAAGAGUCGGGUGCUUAGCCGACUGAACCACCCAGUGAAGGGGGAUGCUUCAGAGAAGUGGCGGACCCCUGUGACACUCUGAGGACUGGCAACCGCAGGGCUGGCUGGCGUCUCCUCACCUCGAUGUUGAGCAGCCAGAACUGGAGGUUGGCCACGGCCUCCUCCCCCAGUGCCAGGUUCCAGACCACCACAUACAGGGCCUUGUCUGUGAAGAAGCACUGAUUGACAGUGGCCAUGCUGGCAGGGCCACCGAUGUCCCAGACGGUGAAUUCCACGGACUCAACCUGCUUGAGCAACAAGGGCAGCGACAGGAGGCAUUUAGGAACCAAGGCUGUACAGUUAUCGGGAUAGCUGAUCACUUCAGAUGCUGGGAUUGGGGCCUAAAAAUGGCCCAGCAGUGGAAGGGCUUUGCCCAUCCUGCUGUUUGUCUCAGGAAGCAAGUGACCCAAGGGAGGGAAAGGGGCCCAGCAGUGCGGAGGUGGACUUCUGGAAGCAUCUAUCUACCCCUGACAGAGCCCGGGGGUAGGAGGGAGGGCAGGCCUUCCUGGAUGGCUGGCUCCCGUUCGCGUCCACCUGUAUCUGCCAAACACUGGGGGCUCUGUCCUGCCUCUGUCUCUGCUGCAGACAGUUAGGAGACAUCCUGCUGGAGGGAACCCCGGUGCUGACGUCAGCGCCCACGCCAAGGCUUAACCUCCAUCUGUGCAAGGGCAAGGCCAAGGAGACGGGCCUCCGGCCUCCGGACUUGAGUAGGCCAGAGGGCGGCGCCCACCAAGGAUGAUGGGAAACUUCCCCGACGUGGGAAUCAAACAAAAGAUUAGCUGUAGUGCUGCCGGGAAAGACUGUGUAAACGGUGGUUUCUCUAUCGUUCUAUGAGCUAAGAGUCUGGCCCCACCAGCUAAGAUUGCAGUUUUCUGUAGCAAAGAAUCAUUUCCAAUAUGCUGCAUUUUGGCCUCCAAGACAAGGCGUGCUGACCUGCUUUUGCAAAGAAAUGAAAACGGGCAGCUGUUCUAAACUGGCAGAAGGCCCAGACACACAGGGCGUUACGGGGCUCGGCGUCUGAAACAUCAGGUGGUUGUCCUUCCACUAAAGGAGGGGAAAUGAUAAUAACGGCAGAAAGGAAGUAGGGGCCAAAGGACAGGAAAAAUGGAAACUGCAAUUCACCCCCCAGACGUCAGACAAUCAUUUGCUAAAGAAUAGCUGGGAGAAAGUGAUAUUGAGUAGUUUUGCUUAAAAAACCAGGAGGGAAUCCAGAGAUCCUGGGGGCUUUAGAGAACCUUUGGACACGGGGUAGUUAGAUUCACUCCUGGGGCCUUUUGGGGGGUUGUGGUGGGGCUGGUAUUAUUUGACUGUUAUGGCAUUAAAAGGCGGGGCUCUGCCCUUUAGAGGA